AGGACGAACGCUGGCGGCGUGCUUAACACAUGCAAGUCGAGCGGAAAGGCCACUUCGGUGGUACUCGAGCGGCGGACGGGUGAGUAACACGCGAGUAAUCUGCCCUCCACUUUGGGAUAGCCACCGGAAACGGUGAUUAAUACCGGAUAUGACCUUGGCCCGCAUGGGUUGUGGUGGAAAGUUUUUCGGUGGGGGAUGUGCUCGCGGCCUAUCAGCUUGAUGGUGGGGUAAUGGCCUACCAUGGCUUCGACGGGGAGCCGGCCUGAGAGGGUGACCGGCCACACUGGGACUGAGACACGGCCCAGACUCCUACGGGAGGCAGCAGUGGGAAUAUGGACAAUGGGCGAAGCCUGAUCCAGCAACGCCGCGUGAGGGAUGACGGCCUUCGGGUUGUAAACCUCUUUCAGCACAGACGAAGCGAAAGUGACGGUAUGUGACAGAAGAAGCACCGGCCAACUACGUGCCAGCAGCCGAC
rnacentral:rRNA from 1 species